rnacentral:miRNA from 1 species
AGGCUGUGAUGCUCUCCUGAGCCC